rnacentral:lncRNA from 1 species
CUGGAGCCAGGCUGAUGCUGAACUGCUGCUUAGCAGUGCCAAAGACAACCAGAUUUUUUGCUGGAAUCUGUCAAGCAGUGAGGUGGUCUACAAGCUACCCACACAGAGCAGCUGGUGCUUUGACGUUCAGUGGUGCCCUCGGAACCCUCCUGCGUUCUCUGCUGUCUCCUUCGAUGGCUGGAUCAGUUUGUACUCUGUGAUGGGUAGGAGCUGGGAAGCCCAGCAGCACAUGAGGCAGGCUGACAAGGUUUGAAGGGCUUGGUAGAGAGUGCUGGAGGGAGGAGCUUUCUGUGUUUUAGGGAUGAGAGGUCACAUAGCUUGGGAAAAAAUGAGAGCUCUUGAAGAGAGGGAGGCCAGGCUGUGGGUUUUAGAGGACCGUAACUUGUAUUAGUUCCUGACUCCCUUGGAGGAAACCUCUGACCUCUUGUUAUUCAUGCUGAACUCUGCUUUGGGUCUGUUAUCUCAUAGUAUGUCCUGACCUAGCUCCCUCUCUGCUGAGUAUCUACCUUGUGCCACCCUCCCAUGCAGACUUUAAAUAGUGCUGUCCAAGAGGGUCAGAUACCUGAGUCUCCCACCCACUUCCAGUCUCAGUCCUAGACUGUGGGAGUCUGCCCCUCCCGGGUCAAUUGGGCCUCACAAGGAUUCAUCUCAAAAUUGAGUUUGUAGGCAGAGUUCCUUGCUGAGAUACCUCUCCAUACUGGUGACACAGGUGACCUUUCCCUCUAGAUUUCCUCUUCCUUUAGCCAAGGCCAGCCUCUCCCACCACUGCAGGUGCCUGAGCAGGUGGCCCAAGCAUCACUAAUUCCUCCCUU